rnacentral:rRNA from 1 species
ACGGGAGGCAGCAGUGGGGAAUAUUGGACAAUGGGGGAAACCCUGAUCCAGUGACGCCGCGUGAGUGAAGAAGUAUUUCGGUAUGUAAAGCUCUAUCAGCAAGGAAGAAAAUGACGGUACUUGACUGAGAAGCCCCGGCUAACUACGUGUCAGCAGCCGCGGUAAUACGUAGGGGGCAAGCGUUAUCCGGAUUUACUGGGUGUAAAGGGAGCGUAGACGGCAAUGUAAGUCUGAAGUGAAAGCCCCGGGCUCAACCCGGGAACUGCUUUGGAAACUGUAUAGCUAGAGUGCAGGAGAGGUAAGUGGAAUUCCUAGUGUAGCGGUGAAAUGCGUAGAUAUUAGGAGGAACACCAGUGGCGAAGGCGGCUUACUGGACUGUAACUGACGUUGAGGCUCGAAAGCGUGGGGAGCAAACAGGAUUAGAUACCCUGGUA